rnacentral:rRNA from 1 species
UACGGAGGAUGCAAGCGUUAUCCGGAAUGAUUGGGCGUAAAGCGUCCGCAGGUGGCCUUGUAAGUCUGCUGUCAAAGCGUCUGGCUCAACCAGAUAAAGGCAGUGGAAACUACAUAGCUAGAGUAAGGUAGGGGUAGAGGGAAUUCCUGGUGUAGCGGUGAAAUGCGUAGAGAUCAGGAAGAACACCGGUGGCGAAAGCGCUCUGCUGGACCUUAACUGACACUGAGGGACGAAAGCUAGGGGAGCGAAUGGG